GGUGCUGUGGCUUAGUUGAUUAAAGCAUCUGUCUAGUAAACAGGAAAUCAUGAGUUUGAAUCUCAUCGGUGCCU